rnacentral:rRNA from 1 species
CCCUUAGAUGUUCUUGGCGGCCCGCGCACUACAAUGGCGCUUUCAGCGAGUUCCUAUGUUGAAUUUUCCUGGGUAUUCUUGGAAGCGGCGUCUUGACUUGGGAUAGAUCCUUGUAAUUGUUGGUUUUGAACGAGGAAUUCCUUGUAAUCGCGGUUGAUCAGCUCGCGUUGAAUACGUCCCUGCCCUUUGUACACACCGCCCGUCGCUCCUACCGAUGAAUCGUCCGGUGAAGUUCACAGAGUGGCGGUUCGUGGAGUUGCUCGCGAAGUGAAAUGGACCUCACGAUUUAGAGGAAGGAGAAGUCGUAACA